rnacentral:rRNA from 1 species
GUUGCGACUAUAGGCUGGCUCCCCAUCCGCGCAGUGUAUUGAUGGACUCGUUUUAAUCGACCGACCUUGAUUUUACGACGCUUUUCACUACACACACCCGUUGUGACCCGAAAGAGGGUGUACUAGGCCAGGAUGGGGUGAACUCCGAGGAAACUCCGAGGGACGCCCCUAACGGUUCUGACCUGAUGAUCCAUCGGAGGAUCUGGGUGUAAGGCCUAAAGACUAAUCGAACCAUCUAGUACCUGGUUCCUUCCUAACAGUUCUGACGUGCAAAUCGAUUGUCCAAAUUGGGCAUAGGGGCGAAGGCUCCUUCCGAAAUCUAGUAGCUGGUUCCUUCCGAA